AGCAAUCUGCCUUGGAGUGGGGAAUAACGGCUGGAAACAGCCGCUAAUACCGCAUGAAGCAGCUGGGAGGCAUCUCCCUGGCUGUCAAAGAUUUAUCGCUCUGAGAUGAGCUCGCGUCUGAUUAGCUAGUUGGCGGGGUAACGGCCCACCAAGGCGACGAUCAGUAGCCGGACUGAGAGGUUGGCCGGCCACAUUGGGACUGAGACACGGCCCAGACUCCUACGGGAGGCAGCAG
rnacentral:rRNA from 1 species